UUCAAAGUGAAGGUAAUAACGGGCGGUCGUAUCGCUAGAGAACGAUGUUUUCCAAAGUAACUUUAUGAUAUUAUGCAGUGAAUGGCAAGCGCAAUGGGUGCAGAUAAUGAAGAAUUCUUUUGGAAAUGCGAAUAACUACUUCUUUGGACAUCAUUCGGCGGUUCGUGGUCUCGGCCGCCAUCAUGCUUUGUACUGCUGCUCCAGCUAUCCUCCAGUGCAUCGUGAAUGACUGAAUAUCGAUGACUUACUGUUACGAAGUCUGUCUUGAAACGCGUUUAUUAUUCUUUAGCUGUUCCUUAGUCAACACCCGGCAAUCCAUUGUGUCUACAGUCCAGCUAUCACUUUACUAACAACGUACAGUCGCCAUCGGAUAUAUCGAAGCGGCCAGGGUGCUCAAAAAUUCUUGACAAUAGAGGCGUGUUCAGUUCAGAUAUUUGUGAGAAUCCUGGCCGCUCCGAUAUAUCUGAUGGCGACUGUACAACCGUCGUGCUUUACGAGCACAGUUUUGAUAUUCUUCCAACAUGCUUCCAACCCUGAUGCUGGCAAAAUUGUCCCACUGCCCAGCUUAUUAUAGUACCAAAGAUUACAUUAAUGACAAAACUGCCUGGGACUGAAUGAUAUUUAUGUUUGUUUUAUUUCUUGUGCUGACAUUUUAUUCAAUUUUUUGUAUGUAAUUUUGAUACUGAUUUUCUAUUAAUUUAUUAAUUGUUACCAAUUGUCUGACAUUUUAUUCCCUUCUUGUAUGUAAAUUCUCUAUUAAUUUAUUAAUUGUAACCAAUUGUAUUUGUUCAAAAUUUUAUUUUAUUCAGUGAAUGUUUGUUAUAUUUUAUUUUCUCUUGAUUAUGACUGUAUGACUUGUCAAAAGUGCUUAUUUUUAAGCCUACUUGAAAUAAAUAAUUUUUGAGUUUGA